UACGUAGGGGGCAAGCGUUGUCCGGAAUCAUUGGGCGUAAAGCGCGUGUAGGCGGCUCGGUAAGUCUGCUGUGAAAGUCCGGGGCUCAACUCCGGAUCUGCGGUGGGUACGGGCAGACUAGAGUGAUGUAGGGGAGACUGGAAUUCCUGGUGUAGCGGUGAAAUGCGCAGAUAUCAGGAGGAACACCGAUGGCGAAGGCAGCUCGCUGGGACGGUACUGACGCUGAGGCGCGAAGCAUGGGGAGCGAACAGG
rnacentral:rRNA from 1 species